CAUGAAUGAUUGGGAACAGACUCUUGCUUCUGAUUGAGGUAGAAGAGAUAUAAUACAAAAUAUAACCACUGUGGGGUAGGCUAUUGAGAAGGAGCACUGCAGCAGCUGAAAGGAUGCCAUAUACUUACCAUCUGAGAUGGCUGACUCCCGGGAUAGAGAAUCUUUCGAAGAUAGAGGAGCAAAUAGGAGGGGAGCCUCAGUAAAUUUGUUGGUGGCAUUCCUCCCCACUGGGCUCAGCCAAACCCUCAAUGUGGCCACCUGCUCCCUGAGAGGUGUUAAAAACAGAUAAAAGUUUGAUGUAUUAUUUCCAAUGAACCCAGCAGGCAGGUAAUUCCUGUGCAGUCCUGAGAUAUUGUGAGCAGUACAGUACAAGGAGUCACUACCACGCCUGUCUCUCAGGCAUACAAAAUGGAAACAGUAGAAGAUAAAGCUCAGUUCAAGUGUGCCAGAAAUUACCUUGACCUCAAAGGGAAGCUGCUGUUGUCCAUCUGCCAUCUGAAGAGGAGGAACCAUCAAGCAGUUUAAAGCCACUGAGGCGGGAACGGCAGUGCAGAUGCUAACAUAAGCUCCAGUCUUGCUUCUCUCAUCUUUUCUCUUAUCAUUGUCUUGCUCUGAAAGGCUUCCCCACUGGUAAAAAGCAACAAAAUGAGAUUACCUACUAUAAGGAAAGUGAUGGGAAUUUGAAAAUUGGCACUUAAGGUUUUGAUCACCAAUUCUUAGUGAUCCACACGGACACUUUUCCAUCAAGUCUUCUGGGAGCUGUUACAGUUUGUAUGUCGUUGUGAAAUUAGGAAAUUAGGUUGUGAAUUCCUGUGUAAUAAAGUUGUUAUCUCAUGGAUUUCACAACCUUGUGUAUUAGAAGUAGAGUUGAAUACCAUCCAGCUUCAGGGUGUCAUUAUUUCUAAACAACUACAAAAUGCAAUGUGAACUGCAAGACAGGGUAAUUUACUUCCCAGUAUAUGAUUAAGAAACUGAUACAAUUUCUUACCCACUGAUUUGUCCUAGAGAUAUAUUAUUAUAUUGUAGGUACCAGAGGAGAGAAAUUACUAUGGAAAUGACUCACAAGCACUUCAGAGAAUGAGAUACAAUUUUAUUUAUUCAAAUACAAAAUUGCUCACAUCCAGUCCACUUAGACAUGGCAAUACAUUCCAGCACAUCACAUUAUACCCAACAACAAUAGUGCCAAGGACUGAAAAAAAAAACAAAAAAAAAGAAAAAAAAUACCCCAACAAAUGCAGUUAAUGAGUCAAUUUACAGAAAAGACCAAGCAGUAAGAACACUCAUAACAAAACAUGUUGAAACAGAUUUGUAAUACAUGCCAGCCACAUUAAAUUGACUUGCAAACAGAGCACAUAGCUUAUUUCUUCUGCCUCCUCUAUUCACACAAUACAAAGACUUUGCUUUAAAUUGCUCAAGAAUUUAUUCUUUUCCUGCUUUGCCUGCCUAGUUUGUUUUUGGAUCUAAUCUUGAGAGGCACUCUAGUAUCAGUAAGGGUAGCAGUAGCCUGCCAGGUUUUUCCACCCAAGAGUAGACAUGUGGGACCACUGGUUGUGGAUGGAGUGUGUUAUCACUUCAUGGCAUGCACAAAAGUAUCAUUUCAGCAAUGAAUAUCUGUACAGUCCAUUACAUGCUGAUGGCUCUCAACUUCUGCUGCCCCUAAUCUCUUGGCUCUCAAUGACCAAACAAGUAUCUGCUGUAAGGUGAAGUCUCGGGGCCUGUCUGCACCACAGAGUGACCUGAGCCCAGGCUCCUGCCCUGGGUGAGCAGGUCGGACUUUGGCAGAAGACCUGCUUCACAUUCUUCUGGGGCUGCCCUUCCUCCUCCUCUUCCUUGUACGGAGGAGGACGAACAGGCUUUUAGUACAAAUUAGACGAAUAAAUAAUCACUGAUUGAUGUAACCAAGGGCGUCUGUGCGGAACUGCCUUUACUGUGCAAAGCAUUAAGACAGUAAGUUUGCUGUAAAACUUGUAAAAAAAACAAUAAUCCACUGAAAAUAUUACAACUCUGUUUUCUACAGCAAACAAUGACAGAUGAUCUAGACAGUAUCACUCUACUGGACUACAUGAGGCUUUGGGGAACAGUGAUAAAAUCCAUACAUUUUCUCCACAAAACUGGGAAUGCCAGGAGUUUUCAACAGAGAAAAUGAACAUAUUUAUUACUGCUCUGCUUGUUUCUACUUUGUGUCAAUCUAAAGUAAUAGAGUGGUAAAAUAAAUCACUGCAGUCCAUCUCAAUGAAAAUGUAACUUGAAGAUCAAGGUGUGCUCAGCAUAUGAAUGACAGAAAAAAAUGGCCAAUGGUAUUUUUGGAAUAAAUUCAGGGAUCCUGCUAUGUCUUUCCACCAAAGUGAAAAACAAAUUAUCCUGUUAAAGCUCUACGUGUUAUGUUGUAAGGGUAUCCCACAGAGAUAUAUAUAUAUAUAUUUUAAUCUUAAUUUAUACCUUAUUACUAAUAAUUACCAAAUUGAUAAAGCUACCUAGUUUACCCUGCAGACCUGUAGGCAUAAAUAACUGUUAGAAAUAAACUUAUUUAUGAAAAUUGGAGACAACGUCUGAACUGUAAAAUAUAACAUGACACUCUUAUCCUCCUUACAGAGACUAAUAAAUAAGUAUAAAUAAAUAAAUAUUGCAUAACAGUAGUGUAGUUCUUGCAGCAAAGAGGUAUUCUAUGUAUUUGUAGUCAACAGUGAAUUUUUUUUUUUUUUAAUUUUAAAAAGGAUAUUUUAGAUUUCUUACAAUACAGCAAAAACUGAAGAUAACUCAUAAAUUAUCGUACUAAGAUCCACUGUAUCUGUUACCCUACAGCUAGUUACCAAGAGGUUAUUUAGCUUAAUUGUCUCAUAACAAGAAUGCUUGUAGCUUUGGCUGUAAGAAGACAACUCUUGCAAGUAAGCACCAGUCAUGAAAUACUGAGAACAUCAAAAUCUUCCCAGUCAAAGUGUGAGGUAAAAUGAUGUUCAAGAAGAAACAGCCUUUUGGUCUCCUUGGUUUUUCAGUUUGAAAAUAAGUGCAUCAUAUGUACAAGUCUGAAAUCUUACCAAUCUUAUAUUGCAAAAUUGCAGACUUAAGAAAGUACGUGAAGCUAUCCUGAAUAUCAACAAGAAUUUCUGCACAUCUGCUAUGCCAUGACUACAGAAAGAAAAAAAAAAAGAUAGCAGGCACUUCCUUUAAGCAAAAGAUCUACAUAUACAUUUUUUGAGCAGCAAUAUAAAUGUAAUUUAAAUGUAAUCACAACAUUAUCUAUCAAACAUUGCUAUUGCAAAACUCAAUAAUUUUUGCAGCCCUUCUGAGGAAUUACUUUAAGGGAGAUCUGUCAGCUGCUACACCCUCAUGAUACUUCUUGAGAUAAAUCCUUUGAAGCAGGGGUGGAGAAGUAUUUUAUAAUUAUCAUUCAGCAUGCUUUAGAGAAGACCUUAAUCAGUGACAGACAAAAGCUAUUCUGAGUACCUAACAGUCUUAGGGGAGAUACCCAUUUGAUGGCCCCUUACCAUUUUACAAAACGUGGAGAUAUUUAACAGCUUGUUCAAAAACACACGGUGCUCUAAAACAUAGGAAUACCUAGGAAAUUCAUAUCUGACCUUGUAUUUACAAUGGUUUUAAUGAGUGCUUACGCAUAGUUAUCAGUCAAAAGACUUUUCUACCAGAAAAAAAAAAGAACUAACCUUAUUUCUAUAAGAGAUGCUUGCUUUUGACCUUUAAAUAGUUCAUCAUGGCUUCACUGUGCCAAAAUAUAAGCAAAACCACAUAAAGAGUCAGACGAGCAGACAGAAAAUAAUGCCAUCUCAAAAAUACUAUAUGAUAUCAUCCUUUUUCUUAAUAACUCUAUUUUCAGCAGUAAAAUAACAUUCCAAGGAAACACUGGAGUGCCAAUUUCCCUUUCACAGGCUGCGGCGUCUCUCAGAAGCACCCAGCCACCUUUCUACAUGAUCCCUGUGCUGAUGAGGAACUACAGGCAGGCGCUGUCAUCUCAGAGGGCCUGGGUCAGCUUGUGCGAGCAUCACAAGUGUGUGGGCCCCUGUGCCAAGAUCAGGAGUUGUGCCAGCUUGCACAGUGUUUGGUGAUUUCACAUUGGGAUUUGACCCCAGUCUGAAGGUACCAUGAAACAAGAGGAUAAAGCAACAGGAAAGUGAAAAGUUGGCCUGAUCUCUGCCCAACUCCAUAAAAAACUGGCAGUAAAGGAUGUGUUUCUACUGGGUCUUUCAGGUCAGCAAACGAUGAUAAAAAUUUCUUAGAGUGACUGCCAGAGCAGUUCUUGUUGGGAUGUGUUAAUGGUAGCUUCUUACAGGUUCAACACAAGGUAGCAAGACAGAUCUUUUUUUUAAAGGUUAGAGAAUUUGUUUUGUUAGCCGUGAUGGCUUUUUGUUAUAGCAUUGCUAAAGCAAAAUUUUACUUCUGGUUUGCCCAAAUCUACUGUAACCCAUUUGAUCCCAUUUGAAAACUGGAUAUUCUUCUCAUUACAUCAUAGCUAUUUCAGCAUUCAUUGCUUUUGAGAGUAGGUUGUGGCUGCCUUUUACCAUCAACCCUUUAUCCACAAAGCAAUGCUCUGUUGUCUGUGUGUUACACACAGAGGGGACCUGCAAGUUGCUCCUCCCUAAGAACUUCUAAACCUCGUAUUCCUUAAUCACAGAGGUUUUCAGCUGAUUUCUUUUGACUUUGUUGGAAGUUCUGAGAAACCUUGGAUAGAUGCUUAUGAAAUCAAAAAUGGUUCACACGUGCAGAUGUUUGCUUACAUUCCAAAUCAGAGCUGGAUUUUUUUUUCCAUGUUCUGUCUACACAGAUUUUCUUCUUUACCACCAUUCCUCAUGAAUUCCUCAUUUUUUAGUCAAUUGAUUGGCUAUGCUAAUUUCAGUGGAAAACGUGCUUGGGGAUUUUUAUUUCUGUAUUUUCUUGUAGGCAAAAGAUCUCUAUAAGCCUCCACAAAUGUCAGUGGAAAACAAAGCAGUGAUACAUUAAUUAUUUAUUAUUCGGUAUUUAGAAUCAGAAUAAAGGGAAUAAGGGCCAUGAAAAAAUACUCAUAGGAUUGAUAUUCUUUCUUUCUUUU